GAUGAAGAACGCAGUGAAAUGCGAUAAGUAAUGUGAAUUGCAGAAUUCAGUGAAUCAUCGAAUCUUUGAACGCACCUUGCGCCCUUUGGCUAUUCUGAAGGGCAUGCCUGUUUGAGUAUCGUGAACACCUCAACUCUCAUGGUCUGCCAUGAUGAGCUUGGACUUUGGGGGUCUUGCUGGCCUACUGUCAGCUCCUCUCAAAUGAAUCAGCUUACCAGUGUUUGGUGGCACCACAGGUGUGAUAACUCGCUACGCUUGUGGUUUUCUGCCAGGUAACCUCCAGUGAUGGAGGUUCGCUGGAGCUCACAAAUGUCUCUCCUCAGCGAGGACAGCUUUUUGAACGUUUGAUCUCAAAUCAGGUAGGACUACCCGCUGAACUUAAGCAUAUCAAUAAGCGGAGGA
rnacentral:misc_RNA from 1 species